rnacentral:rRNA from 1 species
GAUGAACGCUGGCGGCGUGCCUAAUACAUGCAAGUCGAGCGAACAGGCGAGGAGCUUGCUCCUCUGACGUUAGCGGCGGACGGGUGAGUAACACGUGGAUAACCUACCUAUAAGACUGGGAUAACUUCGGGAAACCGGAGCUAAUACCGGAUAAUAUAUUGAACCGCAUGGUUCAAUAGUGAAAGACGGUUUUGCUGUCACUUAUAGAUGGAUCCGCGCCGCAUUAGCUAGUUGGUAAGGUAACGGCUUACCAAGGCAACGAUGCGUAGCCGACCUGAGAGGGUGAUCGGCCACACUGGAGCUGAACCACGGUCCAUACUCCUACGGGAGGCAGCAGUAGGGAAUCGUCCGCAAUGGGCGAAAGCCUGACGGAGCAACGCCGCGUGAGUGAUGGAGAUCUUCGGAUCGUAAAGCUCUGUUAUUAGGGAAGAACAAAUGUGUAAGUAACUAUGCACGUCUUGACGGUACCUAAUCAGAAAGCCACGGCUAACUACGUG